rnacentral:lncRNA from 1 species
AGACUAUGAUCAAUGUGGGUGUUCUCAUGCCCAACAUGCUGUCAGUGGUUGACAUAUUAUUAAUUUGUGUCUCCAUUGUAUCCUUAUCUUUUGAAUUCUGAUUUUCAGCUCCUUCUUGAUUGUUUGGUUGAUCCUGCAUAGAAAGAUCAAUGAAAUUAUUAGAUGUAGGGAGUGCAGAAUUAGUAGUCAUACUUGUGUGAUGAGUCUGUGGCUGCUGCAAUGUUUCCUUAGGAGAUUUUGGUCUGUCCAUGC